GGUGAGGGACCAGAGCGAAGUAAUAGGCCUUAAUAGCUUCGAUCAGCCUCACCUGUGCACCACACCCUCCUCCCAGGGUCUCCAUUUAAAGUCAGAUCAGGAAUCUCUGCACUGCUUAUGCUAGCUUUCCCUGAGACUGGAGAGUGGAAGAGUCUCAGAUCUCAUCGCAAGGAUCCUGCCUUCCCUCCUGGCAUUGUUACUUCUCUUCGAAGACCAAGCAUCUGUUCUUAUCUCCCACACUAGUGUCAGUGGACAGAAGGAUGCAGCAGCCUGCCUGCCCUGCUCCUGCACUGUCAGCCUCAACUGAGGAAUAAGCAGGAGGAGCUUGGAGACGAGAUCCAGGGCCUAUCCUCAUCUCUGUCACACUUAUAAAUCUGGAGAAAUUCCACUUGUUCCUUGAGGACACACAAGGAUUUUAUUACAGCAGUGUUGAAAACUGGAAUCUGGCACAUCAUAUUAACAUAAAAUGCAAGGGAAAAAUACCCAUCAACAAGCAAAGGGCAAUACAGAAAAUAGAGCCACUUGAAACGGAGCACAGGCUGGAUUUUUAACCCGUGGUUGUGAAGGCAGCUCCAUUUUGAAGAAGGAAGUUCAGUAAUUGCCUCCUGACAGACCUCCCUGUCAAUUCUCCGGGAUAUCAGGGCUGGAUUGUUUGCUGGGAAAACGUCUAAAGUCAACAGAGGGAGGUACUGGAAAUAGCAUUCAGAUGGGCAGGGGAUAUCUAGUGGGUCAGAUGGAAGCACAUGAAAGAGUCAUGCUGAAGCCAGUAGUGUGGAGUAAUCCUAUGAGAAUGACCAUGGCUGUCUUUACUGAUGUGGGAGGAGGGCAGAAGGAAUGACUUCAGUGCUGCUUUAAUUACUGAUCUCACUAACUGCCCUCCAAACCAGCAGGGUUUUGCCCGGAGCUGUUUCCAAAAGCCAGAAUGCGCUUCUGUAACUGAUUUACACCUGAAAGGGUGGCUCUGAUGGUUCCCCAGUAUGGAUUUUUACCCCAGUGAAGCUUGUACUUCUGGUAACAGAAAUCAAAGACUGUAAGUGUAUCCUGCCUGGACUGCUCACAUUGCUGGUGACAAGUGAUGCGAAAGUGACUGCACUGUCAGCUACUGGAAGCCUCAGGCAACGUGCAGCAGGGCUACAUACAGGGCUAGUUGCCUUAACUGCUUUUGACAUUUCUUCUCUCUGACCAUGAGGUUGCUGAGAUGGGAGAUUAAGUUGCUCGUGGAAGAAUGAGACCUGACACAGGUGAAAACCACAGGUGUGGAUUGCAGAAUUCAGCUGAAAGAGAGCACCCACGUGGGAAACUUCAGCUCCUUCAGUUAGCAUUUAACAGAAUCUGCAGCAGUCGAGAGCAGGGUCAUCCUGCAUGUAGGCAGUGUAAAGAGCUUCAGCAGUGAGUGGUAACACCUCUUUCUGCCACGUGUAGGUGUGGGUACACAUGCAGACCUGAGGACUGAUGUUUGGCAUAGCUCCUUUGACAAACAGUAUUUAUCUGAGGCCAAACCUCCACCCAAAGAAAGGUUCUAAGCUUCUGGGAUGUGUUUGGGAAUGAUGCUUUGAACUGGGUUACGGUGACAGUGUGUGAAAGGAAGCUUAGUGCUGGUCCACUGGCUGGGUAAAUGCAAGGGAUUGCUGCAUAGGAGGAUGGAGUUGGUCUCCUCAGCCCCUUGUCUGGUUGUGUGGUCCACAGACAUCUGCUGCAAUACAGCUGCACACCUUCGCCUGGAGUGGAGGCUGUCCUCAGUCAUCCUGCGAGGUAUGCCAGUCGCAAGAGCAUCUGAUAGGCAUUGCAGUUAACACAAGGCUAGGACCACGGUGGGUGAAGGUGGAGAGUGUACAUGAAGGAACACCUCUGUUUGGUUGCUGUUAAAUCAGUUUACAAUGUCUCAUGAGACUGCGGUGUCCCCAGGACCUCUGGCCAACACAUAAACAAAGGACAAAAUGGCCUCAGAAUGGACUUGCUGUCAUCUUUCUAGCUUCUGUGAGAGCAGUGAGAAUGGCUAACUCCUGGAGUCAGCACUAGGGAGGGAUGGAGUCCCAUUGAUACAAGGCAGAUAAGGAACUUGGCUGCAAAUCUAAAAGGACCUGAGAGUGGAAAAUGGGACAGUCCAGUGGGUGCAAACCAGGAGCCCCAGUGAGAAUCCUGAAGAGAAAGAAAGAAAGAAAGCUGUCCACCCUUUUCAGAAACCACUGAUUUUCCAUUGUAAAGAAAGAAUGAAAAAAACAAACAGAAGUUCCUUGCUUGCUGAUUGAUUUCGAAGGAAGAAAAUCUGCCCGGAGCAUCCACUGUUCCUGCGUGGGUGAUGAAGCGUUUGCUCUGGGAGCUUUGGUCACUCUGCCACUCACUUGCAAGGCACCGGGAAGCUGCUCUGCAUUCAGCAAUGCUGCAGUACCUUGUGGCUUGAGGUGCACUUGAUGAACAAGGUUGAACUGGAAUCUUUGAGCAGGAAUCCUCCUAAGCCUGAACACUGCCUAACUGGUGAAGAGUGAAGUGGGAAAUACAUACUUGUGAGCUCUGGGGCUCCUGUGGCUGGCGGACACUGCAACAAGAUCCAGCACAGCCCACAGGACUUUGAACUCAGUUUUCUCUUUGGAACAGCCUCCCCAGAUGAACUCUGAGCCUGGAUUUGAUGUUCCACACACGGUUUUGUCACAGCCCUGUGCUGUGCUGCCUGAGUGGCACCGAUGUGCAGUAAAGACCCAGCUGGCUGAGCACUUUCAGGACAAACAGGGAAGACAAUUUACUAUCUGAUUUUACGAGAGCCAUUUGCACUUUGCAGAAUUUUUUAAGCAGCAAAACCCUUAAGAGGCAUGUUCUGAGCCUGGUACCUCGGAGAAUUGCACACACAUUUCCUGUCAGCAGCCGGAGAAUGGUGUCUCACACCUGCUAUGAAGAGAUUGAAAUAUAUUCUUAAUGGCUUGAUUGCUUUGCAUUUCCCUGGAGAUGGGAUGACACACUGUGGCGUGGUUUCUUUUCCACAAGGAGCAUCCUGAACAGCGUGGCAGAGCUGAUGCUCGCUCGUACUGAUGCUCCCUGGGAUUUAACCUGUGCUUAAGAUCUAGCUAUGCUCAUAGGGAUGCUCUGGGCCUGGGAGGCAGCAGACAUGGAUCAUAGGUGGUUGCAGGCAGGAUCCUGCACUAGGACUGGUUUAAAGGUCAGCUGAUGGCUGGGCUAAAUGCCCAGAGGAAAACAUCCCUAAAAUGGAUGCUUUGCUGCAUGCAUCAUCCUGGGCAGCACUCUGAAAACCAGCAGUGAGAGAAGUUAAAACACAUUCUUUAGUUGCCUACCUCCAUGUGGUUUGUCAGAGCAUCCCAGCACCGCCAUGUGAAUGCUGCAGUGAUGCCAGGAGGACACCUUCCCACCUUGGCCAGUUACAGCCAGCACAUACCAGGGAAUGGCAGAAUAGGCCUUCCCCUGCAUCUGCCCCACUGUGAUGCUCCACCCAAAGGCUGUCCCUGUCAGCGAUGAACCUGUUAUCACACAUCAAAUAUUCAGCAACCAAAUACCAUCCAUUUCCAAGAGGCUUGAGCCCCAACCUCUUUGUUGCAUGGGAAGGAGGUGCACUAAAGGAUGACAGGCACUUCUGUAGGGUACCCUUUUAUUUCAGCAUCUUGAACAGCUGCAUGUCACCAGCCAUUAUCCUGCAGACCUCUGUACCACCCCACCUCACCACACACCCAACCCAUGGAAUGGUUUCUAAUUUUGGCAGAAGACGCUGUGGUUUCUGCUGAACGUGGUGGAAGUUGGGAGCUUUCAUCCCAUGGGAACACAGCGCAGUCCCAUAUCAGACUGAUACGAAAAGGAAACAGCGGUGCUUUUCUGCCUCAGAAUGUUUCUGUUUUUCAGACACCUGAAUAUAAACUCUGUAAAAAGGAAUUAUAUUAGAUAUGUAAAUAUUAAUAUUUAUGAAAUAAAUCCCAAAGUUUCAACUCUU